UUAUGAGCAUAAAAAUUAGAAUGAAGGUUCUUUUUAAUAGUCAUUGGUCAAGAGCAUUUAAAAGUGGCACUUGUUGAAAUGUUUUUGGACUUCAAAUGUUUCAAUAGACAACUUUACUGCUUCAAAUCCUACCCUCAUAAUGCUCUAGUUUUCUUGUUGAAAAGCCAAGAGAGGAAAAACUACUACCUUUGUUUAAGCAAGAAAAGUUUCCAUUUUCUUUCAGAUGCCAGAAUGAGCAUCAUUGGAAAACAACAAUGCUUGGAGUGUUCUCUAAGGUUAUUUUAUAAAGUGUACGUGCAAGAGAUUUCUCUAUUUUAUUUUAUUUAUUUUUAUUUUUUUUAAUUUUAUUUUAUAAGAUUCGCAGUGACUCAAUAAAUUUAAUAAAAUUACAAUGAUAUUGUAAUUUUAUUGAUUAUGCCAUAAAAUAUAAUUUUUACCAUAAUUACAUUGAUAGAUUGUGAUUCGGCCAAAUUAAUUGUAAAAUUCAAUAAAAGUAAAGUCACUGACCAAGCAUUACGAUGCAACUUUAUUAGUUUUCUCCACUUUUGUUCAUUUUGUGCUAUUGGCCAUUUAAAAAACAAAAUUAUAUAAAUGCUCAAGGAUCUACUAUUGAAUAUGUCAUUGCUCAUGCUCUUCUUUCAUUUCUUUCCAAAUUUGGGUCUGGCGCAUCAUGAAAUUAUUUAUAUAGUGGAUCACACAAAAAUAAAUAAAAUAUUUAGAAAUCCUCAAAGGGUACAAGCUGGAAUAUUUACUUAUUCAUUCUUUCUUCAAUAACGUACUACUCUUUUAGGUCAUGCAAUAUUGGCAUAGUGAUAUGAUGUCAAUUUUCAUGGAAUUUGGU
rnacentral:lncRNA from 1 species